UUUGUAUUUCAUGUUUUUAUCUCAAAGCAAAAAAAUGUUUUUCAGCUGGACAAAAAAAAACAAAAAAAAAAAAAAGUGCUAAAUAUAGAUUUAUUUAUUUCCUUACACAGCAUUAGUGAACAAACACACUAGAAGAUUGGUGGGCUCAUACAACGACAGAGAGAGAGAGAGAGAGAGAGAGAGAGAGAGAGAGAGACAGAA